AUUCAUAUAGCUUAUAAAGAGCAUAAUAUUGAAGAUAUUAUGGAAGUGGAGUCCACUUUUGAAUA
rnacentral:tRNA from 1 species